CCUACGGGAGGCAGCAGUGGGGAAUCUUGCACAAUGGGGGAAACCCUGAUGCAGCGACGCCGCGUGAGUGAUGAAGCCCUUCGGGGUGUAAAGCUCUUUCGACGGGAACGAUAAUGACGGUACCCGGAGAAGAAGCUGCGGCUAACUACGUGCCAGCAGCCGCGGUAAUACGUAGGCAGCAAGCGUUGUUCGGAAUUACUGGGCGUAAAGAGUACGUAGGUGGUUUGCUAAGUCCGAUGUGAAAUCUCCUGGCUUAACUGGGAGGGUGCGUUAGAUACUGGCAGGCUUGAAUGUGGGAGAGGAGAGCGGAAUUCCUGGUGUAGCGGUGAAAUGCGUAGAUAUCAGGAGGAACGCCUGUGGUGUAGACGGCUCUCUGGACCAUUAUUGACACUGAGGUACGAAAGCGUGGGUAGCAAACAGGAUUAGAUACCCUGGUAGUCCACGCCCUAAACGAUGCAUACUUGGUGUGGGCAGUUCAGUCUGUCCGUGCCGGAGCUAACGCGUUAAGUAUGCCGCCUGGGGAGUACGGUCGCAAGGCUGAAACUCAAAAGAGUAGUAGGCGUGUAGACGUCGCGACGGAGACACCGAGGGAGGUUAAGGAG
rnacentral:rRNA from 1 species